rnacentral:lncRNA from 1 species
AAACCUUAUACUGAUAAAUCAAUGAACAGAUCCAUGCUUCUCUGAGUUGCCAGCUGGUGAUGUCUGAGAAAUUGAUUUGUCGUGGAGAAAUGCAGCUAACGAGAACGAAAUGUUGCCGAUAACUGACCUUAAAUACUUAAAAAAGCUUCAAGACCGAGGGUGGUGUCUACAUUCAAUCAUUAUGCUGGCCAUGUGUAGGGCCUAUCAACAACAUGUUACAAGGUAUUUUACAUGUUUUUUGAUGUUUUAUUGGAGAUGUUUCCAGUCCAUUUUGUUGCAUCUCUUUGAAUGGGCUUUCACAAUCAGUUUCUUUUUAUCUUCACUUUGCAAUCCAUCCUUGUGACUACCGCUUUAACUCACACUAUCCAUGCACAAUAAUCCAUUCUUCUGUAUGCAGAUUUUGAACACCUAAUUCCAUCUGAGAACUGAGCAUUUUCUAUAAUUCUGAUAUCUUCAAGCCUCGAAUUAAUUCAUUACAUGCCUUUUCAUCUUUCUGGUGUGUAGACAGUACAUUUAUAUAAAUGGUUCCUCUUUUCUUUUCUUUCUUUAAAUUGUGGAUUUCAAUUUGCAAUCCAUCUUUGUGACUGCCGCUUUAACUCACAGGACAAUAAUCCAUUCUUCUGUAUGCAGAUUUGAACACCUAAUUCCAUCUGAGAACUGAGCAUUUUCUAUAAUUCUGAUAUCUUCAAGCCUUGAAUUAGUUCAUUACAUGCCUUUCCUUUUUCUGCUGUGUAGGCAGUGCAUUUAUAUAAAUGGUUCCUCUUUUCUUUUUCUUUCUUUACAUUGGGGACGUGAUUUUUCUUACAUGAAAACAACAAACAAAUUUAGACAUUGUUUGCUGAAAAUUGUUGAAAUAUUUGAUUUGACAAAUUCUCCAACCUGCAAGCGAAAUCCAAGGUUGCUUGUUUUUAUCCUUCCUCUUCUAUCGGUGGGCUUAUAUCAAUUUCCACGUAGAUAGUGAGCCUCAGUAGCUGUUUCAUCAGGAUUCAGGAAGAAGAUAAUGUAGCUGGGGAAGCUGCUGAACAUGCUUUAUUGGUUCUAAUAGGUGAAUGUGUCAUCCUAAAGAUGAAGGUUUUUUUUCUUUCUGC